rnacentral:rRNA from 1 species
GACGAACGCUGGCGGCGUGCUUAACACAUGCAAGUCGAACGGAAAGGCCCCCACCGUUUGGUGGGGGUGCUCGAGUGGCGAACGGGUGAGUAACACGUGGGUGAUCUGCCCUGCACUUCGGGAUAAGCUUGGGAAACUGGGUCUAAUACCGGAUAGGACCAUGGUUUAGCGUCUCAUGGUGGAAAGAUUAUUGUUUUGGUGUAGGAUGAGCCCGCGGCCUAUCAGCUUGUUGGUGGGGUAAUGGCCUACCAAGGCGUCGACGGGUAGCCGGCCUGAGAGGGUGGACGGCCACAUUGGGACUGAGAUACGGCCCAGACUCCUACGGGAGGCAGCAGUGGGGAAUAUUGCACAAUGGGCGCAAGCCUGAUGCAGCGACGCCGCGUGGGGGAUGACGGCCUUCGGGUUGUAAACUCCUUUCGUUAGGGACGAAGCCACGCCUUUUUUUGGGUGUGGUGACGGUACCUUUGUUAAGAAGCACCGGCUAACUACGUGCCAGCAGCCGCGGUAAUACGUAGGGUGCGAGCGUUGUCCGGAAUUACUGGGCGUAAAGAGCUCGUAGGUGGUUUGUUGCGUCGUCUGUGAAAUUCCGGGGCUUAACUUCGGGGUGGCAGGCGAUACGGGCAUAACUAGAGUGCUGUAGGGGAGACUGGAAUUCCUGGUGUAGCGGUGGAAUGCGCAGAUAUCAGGAGGAACACCGAUGGCGAAGGCAGGUCUCUGGGCAGUAACUGACGCUGAGGAGCGAAAGCAUGGGGAGCGAACAG